CUUACUGAUUGGCCCCAAAAUGCCUUAAAGUUUCUACCUAUACUCUGAACAAAGAAAUCUAAUCCAUCUCUCUGUCUCUUCAUCACCAUGCUAUCCUUCUCUGGAGGGUACUUCAGUUUACCUUAAAAUGUAGGCUCCAAAGCUGAACUCUGUGCUCCAAAUGUGUUCUGAAGAGAGCGGAGCACGUGGAUACUCCUGUCUCUCUAAUCUGGAGAACUCUACGCCUCAUAUUAAAAGCCUAAAGUCAUACUGACUUUUUUGAACUUUUUUGUCACUUGGCUGAAUGAUACUAAGCUCUCCCUUCAAAGCUGUCCCCGUUUCUUUGCAGGGUUUGUUUCUUUUGAAUUUGUUAUUAACUUUGAAUUAUGAAAAGACCAAUUAAACUUAAGGAAUUGGGGAGGGAGAGGAAGGAUCAGGGGAUGAGUUCCACAGCUCAACUGAUGAAAUUACAGAGCUUCAGACUUUGGCCCUUUUGCAAUUUUAUAGGAUAUAAGGCAAAACUUUUUUUAGACUGGCCAAAUUUGCAUAUGAAAGGGGCCAGGAAACUCCCCGGAGGUUAGACAGAGGCGAGGAAAUUUUCUAAAACUGUGGACUGACUUUUCUACACCCACUCAUUGAUGUGAUCAAACGAGAAUGACUUGAUAAAUUGAAAACCGGAGAACUGAUUCUGGCAGAGGCUAUCCAUUCAAGAGAUUCUGUUCUAAAACAGCAUUUCUAGCAGGAUGCAACAUUUUCUUGGGUUGGGACAGGGGAAAUUCUUCUGUAAUAGCAUCCUGUAGCAAAGCCCAUGGCCGGGUGGGUUUUCCCUCAGAGGGGAAUUUGAGGACAUUGCUUACCGAACUUCAAAGAAUGAAUAACAACAUGGAGAAAAAAGUUCAGAGACAGAGAGCUCGGAAUCGGGAGCAGGGAUCCUGCUGCUUGGGAAAUGGUCAGCCUCGAUGUCAGGACACUGAGGAAGAAGAGCUGGGGUUGCUCCUCUUGGACCUAAGGAAAGGGAAGAAAAUGUGAAUAAGAAACAGAUGCGGGUACUCCUCACAGCAUUGGCCAGAAGACAUGGCACGAGAACAUCAAGACCUGGAGCAGAGAAAGCAGCUAGAAGCUUUGAUGGGAGAAGAAGCACAGAGAUGCCAAAAUUGCCAACUGUUGUGAUCCUGUUAAGGUGGGGAAGCUCAUCUCCCCUUUUAGUUCUUGAGUCUGAGCUGAGUAGCACACCUCCCUUUCCACCAGCAGUGGGGAGCUGCAGUUAGGAUUCUUUCCUUCACACCUGAAGAUCGCAUAGGAAGGUCUCUCGAUCAUCCCCUCCCACUGAGUCCGAAGCAGGUCCCAGGGGCUUCUCACCUUCACUCAUUACUUACUACAGCAGCAUUCACCCCUGUGACCCACAGAGUACGGAUUCUGGCAGUCGUUUCCUCCUGCCCUUUUCCAGGCUUAGCGACCUUGAUAGUUGGGGAUAACAGGACCUGUCCAGAUCAAAAAUGUAGCUCAUAAGUGACUGGGCUGCUCAGAAGGUCAACAGGAGUGGAGCCCUUUAUACAGAGUCUUUGGCUGCUCUUUGUACUUUCCAGCUGUUCUAGUAGAUGAUUGGCGAGGACUCCAUCCCAGUCAGGGAAGAUGAUGGUACAACUCGGUUUCAUAGUGGAUAGGAUUCAGGAGUUGGGAACUGGAAUACCAGAGUUCGCCAGUGACCAGACACUAAUUAACUGGGUGAUCCUGGACAGAUCACUUCCCUCUCUGUGCCUCAUCUAUAAAAUGGGAAUAAUAAGAGCACCUCAUCUAUAAAAUGGGGAUAAUAAGAAAAAAAAACUUCACAAAGUAGUUGUAAUGGUUAAGUGAAUUAAUAUAAAUAAAAUAUUUUGUAAAUCAUAAAGUGCUGUGUAAAUGCUAGCUAUUAUAAUUUAUAUAUAUUUUGUAUGUAUUUACCCUUCAGAGUGCAUAUAUUUUAAAAAGUUUUUUUAAAUAUUUAUUUGCAUAUGUAUACAUAUAUUGUAUUUAACAUAUACUUUAACAUAUUUAACAUGUAUGACACUUGCCAUCUGGGGAGGGGGUGAAGGGAAGGAGUGAAAAAGUUGAAACAGAAGUUUUUGCAAGGUCAGUGUUGAAAAAUUACCCAGCAUAUGUUUUGUAUAUAAGAAGCUAUAAUAAAAACAUUUUAACAUCAAAA